rnacentral:rRNA from 1 species
UACAGAGGGUGCGAGCGUUGUUCGGAAUCACUGGGCGUAAAGGGCGCGUAGGCGGCCGAUCAAGUCGGGGGUGAAAGCCUGUGGCUCAACCACAGAAUUGCCUUCGAUACUGUUUGGCUUGAGACCGGAAGAGGUAAGUGGAACUGCGAGUGUAGAGGUGAAAUUCGAUAGAUAUUCGCAAGAACACCAGUGGCGAAGGCGGCUUACUGGUCCGGUUCU